rnacentral:misc_RNA from 1 species
GAUGAAGAACGUAUCGAAACGCGAUAAGUAAUGUGAAUUGCAGAAUCCAGUGAAUCAUCGAAUCUUUGAACGCACAUUGCGCCCGCCAGCAUUCUGGCGGGCAUGCCUGUUCGAGCGUCAUUUCAACCCUCGCCCUCCCCUUGGGGAGGUCGGCGUUGGGGACCGGCAGCACACCGCCGGCCCUGAAAUGGAGUGGCGGCCCGUCCGCGGCGACCUCUGCGCAGUAAUACAGCUCGCACCGGGACCCCGACGCGGCCACGCCGUAAAACACCCAACUUCUGAACGUUGACCUCGAAUCAGGUAGGACUACCCGCUGAACUUAAGCAUAUCAAUAAGCGGAGGA